UCCGGCCAUCGACUGGACUAAGUACUCUUGC
rnacentral:piRNA from 1 species